rnacentral:lncRNA from 1 species
AUAGUAUGUCCUUAUUAUCUACAAAAUUUCAUGAAAUUCUGUUGUGUGUUUUCAGAGGAGUUGAGAUGACAAACUGUUGCAGAAGUACAUUGAAGCAAAUAAGUUCAAAGGGGCAGAACUCCUAGAAAAAAAAAUGAAUCGUAAUUUCCUGUUGAUAUGCACAUCUACGUAGUAUGUCCUUAUUUUCUUCAAAGUUUCAUGAAAUUCUGUUGUGUGGUUUCAGAGGAGUUGAGAUGACAAACUGUUG